AUUGAACGCUGGCGGCAUGCCUUACACAUGCAAGUCGAACGAGUGGCGAACGGGUGAGUAAUACAUCGGAACGUGCCCUGUAGUGGGGGAUAACUAGUCGAAAGAUUAGCUAAUACCGCAUACUAUAGGAGCGGCCGAUGUCUGCUUAGCUAGUUGGUGGGGUAAAGGCCCACCAAGGCGACGAUCAGUAGCUGGUCUGAGAGGACGAUCAGCCACACUGGGACUGAGACACGGCCCAGACUCCUACGGGAGGCAGCAGUGGGGAAUUUUGGACAAUGGGCGAAAGCCUGAUCCAGCCAUGCCGCGUGUGUGAAGAAGGUCUUCGGAUUGUAAAGCACUUUAAGUUGGGAGGCGUUACCAACAGAAUAAGCACCGGCUAACUUCGUGCCAGCAGCCGCGGUAAUUC
rnacentral:rRNA from 1 species